UCCCAUGGCCAUACCACUCUGAGAGCGCCCGGUCUCAUCUGAUCUUGGAAUCUAAGCCAGGUCGGGCCCGGUUAAUACUUGGAUGGGAGACCGCCUGGGAAUACCGUGUGCUGUAGGCU
rnacentral:rRNA from 1 species